AUGCCAGCAAAUUUGGAAAACUCAGCAGUGGCCCCAGGACUGGAAAAGGACAGUUUUCAUUCCAAUCCCAAAGAACGCAAUGCCAAAGAAUGCUCAAACUACCACACAAUUACACUAAUCUCACUCGCUAGUAAAGUAAUGCUCAAAGUUCUCCAAGCCAGGCUUCAGCAAUACAUGAACCAUGAACUCCCUGAUGUUCAAGCUGGUUUUAGAAAAGGCAGAGGAACCAGAGAUCAAAAUGUCAACAUUCCCUGGAUCAUGGAAAAAGCAAGAGAGUUCCAGAAAAACAUUUAUUUCUGCUUUAUUGACUAUGCCAAAGCCUUUGACUGUGUGGAUCACAAUAAACUGUGGAAAAUUCUGAGAGAGAUGGGAAUACCAGAUCACCUGACCUGCCUCUUGAGAAACCUGUAUGCAGGUCAGGAAGCAACAGUUAGAACUGGACAUGGAAAAACAGACUGGUUCCAAAUAGCAAAAGGAGCACGUCAAGGCUGUAUAUUGUCACCCUGCUUAUUUAACUUCUAUGCAGAGUACAUCAUGAGAAACGCUGGGCUGGAAGAAGCACAAGCUGGAAUCAAGAUUGCCGGAAGAAAUAUCAAUAACCUCAGAUAUGCAGAUGACACGACCCUUAUGGCAGAAGAUGAAGAGGAACUAAAAAGCCUCUUGAUGAAAGUGAAAGAGGAGAGUGAAAAAGUUGGCUUAAAGCUCAACAUUCAGAAAACGAAGAUCAUGGCAUCCGGUCCCAUCACUUCAUGGGAAAUAGAUGGGGAAACAAUGGAAACAGUGUCAGACUGUAUUUUUGGGGGCUCCAAAAUCACUGCAGAUGGUAAUUGCAGCCAUGAAAUUAAAAGACGCUUACUCCUUGUAAGAAAAGUUAUUACCAACCUAGAUAGCAUAUUCAAAAGCAGAGACAUUGCUUUGCCGACUAAGGUCCGUCUAGUCAAGGCUAUGAUUUUUCCUGUGGUCAUGUAUGGAUGUGAGAGUUGGACUGUGAAGAAGGCUGAGCACCGAAGAAUUGAUGCUUUUGAAGUGUGGUGUUGCAGAAGACUCUUGAGAGUCCCUUGGACUGCAAGGAGAUCCAACCAGUCCAUUCUGAAGGAGAUCAACCCUGGGAUUUCUUUGGAAGGAAAGAUGCUAAAGUUGAAACUCCAGUACUUUGGCCACCUCAUGCAAAGUGUUGACUCAUUGGAAAAGACUCUGAUGCUGGGAGGGAUUGGGGGCAGGAGGAGAAGGGGACGACCCAGGAUGAGAUGGCUGGAUGGCAUCACUGACUCGAUGGAUGUGAGUCUGGAUGAACUCCAGGAGUUGGUGAUGGACAGGGAGGCCUGGCGUGCUGUGCUUCAUGGGGUUGCAAAGAGUCGUACACUACUGAGUGACUGA
rnacentral:lncRNA from 1 species